rfam:Perkinsus marinus ATCC 50983 gcontig_1104296471182, whole genome shotgun sequence.
GCAUUCUUAGCUUAGUUGGUAGAGCACCCGCUUAGUAAGCGGGAGGUCGUCGGUUCAACUCCGUUAGAAGGCU